AAGAGCCGUAUGCGCGAAUAGUGCAUGUACGGUUCUGUGGGGGGGAGCGGCACAAGGACACUAUGCCGGUUCAACUAGGACACUGCGCCGAAAGGGGCAGGCACUGGGACAGUUGCUAUGGAUAAGGUGUGCGAGGCCGUCUCUCUACCCGAC
rnacentral:ncRNA from 1 species